rnacentral:rRNA from 1 species
CUAACGAUUGAUCUAGUUAUUUAGAAAGAUGAAGAUUAUGAAAUAAUAAUAUAUAUAUAUAUAAUAUAUAUAUAUAUAAAAAACAAUAAUAAUGAAGAAUAUAAAAUCUUGAUAUAUAAAUAUAAUAAUGAUAUAAUAUAUAUUGAAGUCUUAACCAAAAUUAGUGCCAGCAGUUGCGGCUAAACUAAGAAGGCAAACGUUAAUCAUUAAUGGCUUAAAGGAUCCGUAGAAUGUUAUAUAAUAAAAUAUAAUAGAGUUAAAUAAAAGAAUAAUGAAUAAUUAUAGGGAGAGAUGAAAUGUUAGGAUAAUAAUUAGACAUACAAAAGUGAAGAUUUUAUUCAAUAUUUAACUGACAUUGAGGGAUGAAGGCAUGAGAAGCAAAACGGAUUAGAUACCCGAGUAGUUCAUGCAGUAAACUAUGAAUACUAAAUAUAUUAAUAAAUAUAAUAUUACAAGCGAAGGCUUAAGUAUUCCGCCAGGUGAG